CCUACGGGGGGCUGCAGUGGGGAAUAUUGGGCAAUGGAGGCAACUCUGACCCAGCAAUGCCGCGUGAGUGAUGAAGGUAAUGUGAUUGUAAAGCUCUUUUCGUGGGAACGAAGAAAUGACGGUACAAAAGGAAUAAGCCCCGGCUAACUACGUGCCAGCAGCCGCGGUAAUACGGAGGGGGCAAGCGUUGUACGGAAUGACUGGGAGUAAAGGGUGUGUAGGUGGUUUGCUAAGUUAGAUGUGUAAUACCCAGGGCUUAACUCGGGUGAUGCAUCUCAAACUGUUAGACUUGAGUACUGGGGCGGAUAGUGGAAUUCCUAGUGUAGCGGUGUAAUGCGUAGAUAUUAGGAGGACCAUCAGUGGCGAAGGCGACUCUCUGGACAGCAACUGACACUGCGGCACGAAAGCGUGGGGAGCAAACAGGAUUAGAUACCCUGGUAGUC
rnacentral:rRNA from 1 species